rnacentral:rRNA from 1 species
GAGUUUGAUCUUGGCUCAGAACGAACGCUGGCGGCAUGCUUCAUACAUGCAAGUCGAAACGGUUGUUAGCAAUACAAUAGUGGCGAACGGGUGCGUAACACGUGGAUAAUCUGCCCUUUGGCGGGGGAUAUCGGCUGGGAAACGCCGGCAAUACCGCAUGUGGCCCACGAGACUUCGGUUUUGUGGAAGAAAGGGCGCUUCACGGGCGUCGACCAGAGGACUGAGUCCGCGGCCCAUUAGCUAGUUGGUGAGAUAAUAGCCCACCAAGGCUUUGAUGGGUA